CCUACGGGGGGCUGCAGUGAGGAAUAUUGGUCAAUGGGCGAGAGCCUGAACCAGCCAAGUCGCGUGAGGGAGUACUGCCCUAUGGGUUGUAAACCUCUUUUGUCGGGGAGCAAAAGCCGGACGUGUCCGGCUGUGAGAGUACCCGAAGAAAAAGCAUCGGCUAACUCCGUGCCAGCAGCCGCGGUAAUACGGAGGAUGCGAGCGUUAUCCGGAUUGAUUGGGUUUAAAGGGUGCGCAGGCAGAUUUUUAAGUCAGCGGUCAAAUCGUGGGGCUCAACCCCAUCCAGCCGUUGAAACUGGGGGCCUUGAGUGGGCGAGAAGAAGGCGGAAUGCGUGGUGUAGCGGUGAAAUGCAUAGAUAUCACGCAGAACCCCGAUUGCGAAGGCAGCCUUCCGGCGCCCUACUGACGCUGAGGCACGAAAGUGCGGGGAUCGAACAGGAUUAGAUACCCGGGUAGUC
rnacentral:rRNA from 1 species